GCCAAGUGCCGUGAUAUACUUGGAAAAAGGAAGAGCAGAAUUUUAUACACCAACAGAAUGAGAAUGUUGAGAAAGAAAAAAAGAAUAAACCACUGACCACAAGACAAUACAUACAUACAUACAUACAUACAUACAUACAUACAUACAUACAUACAUACACACGUAUAUAUAUAUUUGCUAUUCACUAAGAUGGAGAAUUUAACAUAUUGGAUGAAAUGAAAAUUUUCAACAAGCAUAUCCAAAAGGAUGUGUCCUUGCCUUUUGUCUUUUUAAGAGUCA
rnacentral:lncRNA from 1 species